rnacentral:rRNA from 1 species
AGGACGAACGCUGGCGGCGUGCUUAACACAUGCAAGUCGAACGGAAAGGCCCUUUCGGGGGUGCUCGAGUGGCGAACGGGUGAGUAACACGUGGGUGAUCUGCCCUGCACUUUGGGAUAAGCCUGGGAAACUGGGUCUAAUACCGGAUAGGACUACGAAUCGCAUGGUUUGUGGUGGAAAGCUUUUGCGGUGUGGGAUGGGCCCGCGGCCUAUCAGCUUGUUGGUGGGGUGAUGGCCUACCAAGGCGACGACGGGUAGCCGGCCUGAGAGGGUGUCCGGCCACACUGGGACUGAGAUACGGCCCAGACUCCUACGGGAGGCAGCAGUGGGGAAUAUUGCACAAUGGGCGCAAGCCUGAUGCAGCGACGCCGCGUGAGGGAUGACGGCCUUCGGGUUGUAAACCUCUUUCAGUACCGACGAAGCGCAAGUGACGGUAGGUACAGAAGAAGCACCGGCCAACUACGUGCCAGCAGCCGC